UCGAGAAUUUUUCACAAUGGGCGCAAGCCUGAUGGAGCGACGCCGCGUGGGGGAUGAAGGGCUUCGGCUCGUAAACCCCUGUCAGUCGCGAACAAGGUCCAUUCAAUAACACUGGGUGGAUUGAUAGUAGUGACAGAGGAAGGGACGGCUAACUCUGUGCCAGCAGCCGCGGUAAUACAGAGGUCCCGAGCGUUGUUCGGAUUCACUGGGCGUAAAGGGUGCGUAGGCGGCUUUGCAAGUCUGAUGUGAAAUCUCCGGGCCCAACCCGGAAAUGGCAUUAGAAACUGUGAGGCUGGAGGCUUGGAGGGGGAACUGGAAUACUUGGUGUAGCAGUGAAAUGCGUAGAUAUCAAGUGGAACACCGGUGGCGAAGGCGAGUUCCUGGACAAGACCUGACGCUGAGGCACGAAAGCCGGGGGAGCAAACAGG
rnacentral:rRNA from 1 species